rnacentral:lncRNA from 1 species
GGCGUGUGCCACCACACCCUGCUAAUUUUAUAUUUUUGUAUUUUUAGUAGAGACGGGGUUUCACCCUGUUGGCCAGGCUGGUCUCCUGACCUCAGGUGAUCCACCAGCUUUGGCCUCCCAAAGUGCUGGUAUUAUAGGUGUGGGCCACCGUUCCUGAACUAGUCCAGGUAAUUCUCAUAAUUUUAUUAGUUAGAUAGCAUUAAUACAGGUGUCAAAAAUGUCAGAAUUAUUUCUUUUAAGAAAAAAGUGUUGUGAAGGUUUCUUUAUUUUCUUUUCUUAUACAUUAGGCAUUAACAGUGAUUUCCUGUGUAAUUUGGGAAUGUUUAUUGACAGUAAUGUGUAUUACGGGAAGAUAAAUUCUAUUUUUUCAUGAAAUGGCUGUCGUAGAAUUAUAAUUAUUAUUAUUUUGUUGUUGUUGUUGUUUUGAGACAGAGUCUUGCUCUGUCGUCCAGGCUGGAGUGCAGUGGCACAACCUCGACUCACUGCAGCCUCCGCCUCCUGGGUUCAAGCAAUUCUCCCACCUCAGCCUCCCUGAGUAGCUGGGGUUACAGCCUCGCAUGAGCACGCCUGGUUAAUUUUUGCAUCUUUAGUAGAGACGGGGUUUCGGCAAGUUGGCCAUGCUGAUCUCUAACUCCUGGCCUCAAGUGAGCCACCCGCCUUGGCGUCCUAAAGUGCUGGGAUUACAGGUGUGUGCCACCUCACCCACCCAUCAAGGAAUCAUUAAAAAGAAGGAAUCUAAGACUAUUUUAAAAAUUUCUCUCAAUGAUUUAAUAUUUGGGUUUUAUGUAUUUUAUUCCAUUUUAGCACUGUGAGAUAGCAUGAUUGCCUAAAGGACUGUAUUAAAGAUGAGUGCACAGUUCUGUCUUAUUUAUCUGCUGUCACAUUGUUUUGACACAGAAGAAAGUCAAGUAACAUUGAUGAAGAGCUAAAAUAUGCUCUAACUGUGGAAAAAAUAAAUAUAAAUUGUCCAUAGUUGCUCAAUUUCUAAAGUAAAAGGAAAAAAUACAGUGUAAGACUGUGAAUUAGUUCAGGAAGGUAAACUUAAGUAAUGUUUAUUUAACUUCAAGAUUUCAGUGGCUUAACUCAACAAAGGUCUGCUUCUUCUGCAUGUCACGGGACAAUGCUGGUUGGUAUGGAUGGCUCUUCUCCAUGCAGUAAUUCAGAGACACAGGCUUCUUUCAUCUAGUGAUUUAUUUUUCCCUGCAGCUUCAGAUACUCUUUUUCCCUCUCUCUGGGAUCCUUUGCAUCUGUCUGGCAGAUAUGGAGACGGAAAGCACAAGAGGAUUGUGUUAGGAGUCUUAAGGGCUGGAUGUGACACUCCUUGAAAGGGAAGCUGGGGAAUGAGUAUGUAGGUGUGUGUCCAGGAUGUAGGGAAAAUGGGUUUGGUGGGGACAGCACUUCCUGGAAUAACGUUGCUUUGGAUUUAACAACAGUUGGGCAAAGGAGGUCGGUAUACAGAUACAGGACAAGAAGAGUGGUGUCAAAGGGAGGCUAAAUCAUUGGUUCUGGCUUCAUCUAAGGAAUUCUUAUGAGAAAUCGAGGGAGAGACUGUCCUGGGAAGUCUGAUGAAACAUGCAUGCCGGUAAGGACUCUGCCACAAAUUUUCAGCCACCUAAUAGUAUUAUCUUGUGAAGAUCAUGAAGAGUUUAAAAAAAAAAGAAAAAAAAGAAACCAAAGAAAUAUGACAGUGCCAUGACCCUUGUAUUAAUUUGAUCAGCUAAAAACAAGAAAAGUGUGUUUUUGAAGUUUAUUUAUGCUGAUACCUGUAAUGAAAACUCAAGGAUAUUAUUACAGAGAUUUCCUCUUCUUAGGAGGUACUUACUCAACAAUAUGCUAAAUGCUAUAUUAAAGUGGGUUACAUAAUUUAGAAUUUAGAGAACUCUGAUUAUUAUGAAAGGCAUUGCAUUUCAGUGUGUUCUUUCCUCUGAGAUUUAAAACACCAAGCACUUCUCUUUCAAAAUAAGAUAAAAAGAAAACAAGGUAAUCAAAAAUGGAAAGUAUAAAAAUGGAAAAUGAGAUUGCAUAUCUUGAUUAAAAAUCAAUCAAUAAAAAACCUUAUUAUACUUCCAAACUAAAUUUAUAAGUCUUUUUGAAAAACAGCAAAUAUUGGAUAAUAGAUCCUCUGACUCUAGAUAUUGCACCUGCUUUAAAUUAGAUUAUCUUUUGAGAAGUGACCUUGAAAAACAAUGAUUAAGUGGGUAAGUUUGACUUUUUAGACUAUUAGACGUGACUGUAUUCUCCCUCAAAAACCUUUAUAAGGCAGAAAUAUAUAUGGCAUCUGAUUCUCUUUUCUUUAGAUGGAGUUUACGAUUUUUGAAGUUUGGCUUUGACAACAAAUGACAAUGAAAUCAUGGCUAUUUGAUAUUUAGUUACAAUUCAUCCAAUAUUUAUUGAGCACUUUCUGUCUUCUGUUUUGAUACAGGAAGGUUAUAAAAAGUAUAAGACACCACUUAUUUCCUCUGGGAUCUUAAAAUCUAAUUAUGGAAAGAAGCUAUGUGGGAAAAAAUAAUGGAGAUUUUGACAAAAGAUCAAGACAAGAAUUAAAGAGACAUCACAUGUCUAUGUAUGAUUAGUUAACAAAUUCAUUUUCAGACAACAACUAUGCUUGGAAGUUCAGGAAUGAGACUGGACUCUUCUUUGUUCAUUUCUUACUUUUCUCCUAUUGACCUCUCACAUGCUGACAUCUCCAUUGUCUUCUCUUCCUAUGCUUUGUGGCUUUGUUAUUAAAUUAAGUGUUAAUUUUUUUUUUUUUCUUAGACGGAGUCUUGCUCUGUCUCCCAGGCUACAGUACAAUGGUGCAAUCUCGGCUCACUGCAACCUCUGCUUCCCAGGUUCAAGCGAUUCUCGUGCCUCAACCUCCCGAGUAGCUGGGAUUACAGGCGCCUGCCACCGCGCCUAGCUAAUUUUUGUAUUUUUCAGUAGAGACGGCGUUUCACCAUGUAGGCCAGGCUGGUCUUGAACUCCUGACCUCAAGUGAUCCACACCGCCUCAGCCUCCCAAAGUGCUGGGAUUACAGGCCUGAGCCACCACGCCCAGCCUAAUUUUUAUUAAAAUAAUGCAUGGACCUAUUUUUAAAAAGCAAAUUAUACUGGAAGCUUGUUAAUACAAGAGGCAGCCCUUCCCUGCAGUCUGGUGUCUGAUGUCCCAGAAGUAACCCCUUUUAACUUCUGGUAUUUCCUUCCAUAAGUGUAAGUAUUUCUUGAUGUAUUGUUUUUAGGUUUUAUCCGCUAACUCUCUACUAUAGAAGAUGAGGAUUUGGCUUUCUUUUAUCAUCCCUCACCCCUACACAUUUCCUCUCCUGACACACUCUUCUACUCUCCUGAAAUAGUUUUGUGACAUAUUUGGUUAAACCCAUAUUCAGUACUGUGGUUAUUGCAACUUUGCAUAUUGCGCUUUCAUUUCCUUUGUCAUGUAACUGUUUGUUUUUUUUUUCAUAAGAUGUCCAUCUGUCUCUCUCUUUUUAUUUGGGUGUCUUUGUUUGAACAAACCUCUUGCUAAGUUUUCUACAUGCUCCAAUGUUCUUUAAAACACCUCUCAAGGCCAGGAGCGGUGGCUCACACCUAUAAUCCCAGAACUUUGGUAGGCCUAGGCAGGUGGAUCGCCUGAGGUCAAGAGUUCGAGACCAGCCUGGCCAACAUGGUGAAACCCCAUCUCUACUAAAAAUACAAAAAUUAGCCAGGUAUGGUGUUGGCACCUGUAAUCCCAGCUACUUGGGAGGCUGAG